CAGAGGUCCCAAGCGUUGUUCGGAUUUACUGGGCGUAAAGGGAGCGUAGGUGGCGGGCUAAGUCUAAUGUGAAAGCUCUGAGCUUAACUCAGAAAUGGCAUUGGAUACUAGUUCGCUUGAGGAUUGGAGGGAGACUGGAAUGCUCGGUGUAGCAGUGAAAUGCGUAGAUAUCGAGCGGAACACCAGUGGCGAAGGCGAGUCUCUGGACAAUUCCUGACACUGAUGCUCGAAAGCUAGGGGAGCAAGCGGGAUUAGAUACCCCGGUAGUCCUAGCUGUAAACGGUGCACGCUUGCUGUAGGUGGAAUCGACCCCGCCUGUAGCGAAGCUAACGCGUUAAGCGUGCCGCCUGGGAAGUACGGUCGCAAGAUUA
rnacentral:rRNA from 1 species